rnacentral:lncRNA from 10 species
UGUUGGAAACAGAAGCCCAGUAGUGAAAGCUACAGCUGCCAUAUACUUGCAGUGGAAUCACAGGAGCAAUCACAGAAUUUAAUUCUGGAGUGUGAGCAGGAACCAGUUAACUACAUUCAUUGUCCAACCCCCACUGGUUUGAAAGAAGACUCCAAAUUCUUGGCAUAUGAAUCAGCUGUUCGGUAGCUCCACCUUAUCCCUGCAGCGAAGCAGCAGAACCGCCAAUGGCGGCACCUCAGGAUUCACACUGUGGGUGGUGAGGCCUUCCGCUGAAGGAGGUACUGGUGGAUGCUCUCAGCAUCUCGCUUUAGCCAGGCAGCAUUCAGCAGAAUAUUUUCACAACACUGCUGGAUGGUACGCUCAGCUGAAGGAGCUGGGUGACUCUCGAAGAAAGCCUGGUAUAAAACAACCCAGAAUGCAGGAUCAUUACUAGCAAUAAGAAGUUAAUAUUACAGGUUAUGAAAAAAUACCCACUGGUCUAUAUGAAGGAUGCAUAAUCUUCAGGCAUGAGAAUUUACCACUGCCACCCUCAGGCUAAAAGAAAACAAGCAACUCCUUGGACCUGCAUAUAGGAAUUCUCCCCUUAAUUAUAUGCUUAACAACCUAAUCAAAAGUUAAUAAAGAGACAGAACCUACUGCCUUUCUUUUAGGCUAAUUGUGUAGUGGUAAAUAUAGUCUUUGGAAUGAAGACUUGGAACCUGAAUCCAGGCUUAGUCAUGUACUAGCUUGUGACUGUGAGAAAAUUAACUGCUCUAAGUCUCAGUUUUCUCAACUAUGAGAAAAUAUCUACUCCAGAAGAUUAAAGAGACAAUCCAUAUAAACAUUUGACAAAAUACCUAGCACAGAGUACUUAAGGAUUCAACACAUUUUGGCUGCUUCAAAUAAAGAUUAAUUUGUAAGGGAUGAUAAUACAAAGAAGUUUAAAUUGCUGCUAUGCCCUAAUAAUUUAACACCCCAUGGUCUUUUUUUUUUUUUUUUUUUUGAGACAGGGUCUCACUCUGUUGCCCAGGCUAGAGUGCAAUGAAACGAUCAUGGCUCAUCACAGCCUCAACCUUCUGGGCUCAAGUAAACCUCCCACCUUAACUUCCUGGGUAGCUGGGACCACAAGCGUGCACUCCCAGGCCAAAUUGUUUUUUCCUUUUUGUAGAGAUGGGGUCCUACCAUGUUGCCCAGACUGGUCUUGAACUCUUGAACUCAAGCAAUCCUCCCACCUCAGCCUCCCAAAAUGCUGGAAUUACAGGAAUCCAACAUUUUUAAUACAGUAAACCAAACAAUUUCUAAGUUUACAAUUUAUCACAAUGCUUAAUGAUUAAAAGUUGAAUAAACUUUUCUAAUGCAGUACACCUGGUUUCACAGAAAACAAAGCAACUCUUAAACACCAGCUGGCAAAAUGAUAGGGCUUUUCCUUUGAAUUAGUCACCACAGGUGUGAAAGACAGAAUGACUAAUCCAUCUGAUUAAACAUAGACCUUUUAGAAAUCAAUAACCUUAUUUACACAGAUGACAAUUGCUACUGUUCCAAGGCUCCUAAUCAUGGUUCAGUUCUCAGGGCCUCAAGUCUUUUUCCAUUCCAUCGCAGAGUAGUACCAACAUUUAUACACCAGAAACCUGGGGAUUAUCCUGGCUUGUUUUUCUUCCUCUCCCAGAUAUGCUCACAACAGAGAAGCCAAUCAAUAAAUAUUGUUGAACUAAAUGGUUAACAAAUUCAAGCCCCUGAAUCUCCAUUAUUCCAUCUCCUCCACUACUGCCACUACCCUACUGUAAGCUAUUCUAUCAUUCUUGCUAGGAGAGUUAGCUUCCCAACAUCUUCUCUUCCCCAUUCCAAACUAUUAUCCACAUUGCAGCCAGACUGAAAUUUUUAUAACACAAAUCAGAUCAAGGCACUGCCUUGUUUAUAAACCAUUCGAAGGCUUUCCAUUUUUAGGACUUUUUUUUUUUUUUUUUUUUUUGAGACAGGAGUCUCGCUCUGUCACCCAGGCUGGAGUGCAAUGGCACGAUCUCAGCUCACUGCAACCUCCACCUCCCGGGCUCAAGCAAUUCUC